rnacentral:lncRNA from 1 species
ACACUUCAUCGCGUGGAGGGUGCAGGACAUUUGUGCUCUUCUAUAUGAGAACGGGGUGUGGGCAGGGGUGGCCAGCGGUAGCAGAGAGAUUCCUUGUCUUCUCUGCAAAAGCAAGGUGGGUAGUUUGGAGAGAGACUGAAAGAAAAAGGGUGGAUGUGGAAGCCAAGCAGCCGAACUCUCUCAUUUAGGAAACCGCGAACCGUUUGCACAGCUUAUGCUCACAUGCCUAUUACUACUACAGCGUCUCAGAAAACACCUUUGGGGGAAGGUUUGACUUGCCUCGAACAGUCUCAGUGUUUUUCCUCGCCGGACAGGGAGCUGCUUGGAUGCGAAGAGAUGGCAUGAUGUGAAUGACUCCAGUGUGAAGAAAUCUUCGCCAACUCAUCCUGCAUCAAGUGCCCAUUGAGUAGCACUGUCACUUUAAUGUCUCCAUGCCAAGGGAUUGCUUUCCUUCUAUUCAAUCCUCUCGGUUAAUACAUGGGAGGAUCAGAAUCAGAGGGGCAUUAAGGAUCAAGCCUGAGGGGCUUGGAGAGCACAGAAGAAAAAAAUGAAAGUGACAGCAAGCUGGAUUCUGUCUUACUGAGGGGGUGAGAUCCCGAACUUGUGGUCCAGUAAACAGAAGGGGGGGGGGGCCUUUCAGUCUGUCUUCUGCCCCAGAAAACUGUCGAAACUCACCCACCUUUUUAGAGGCUAGAGUCAAAGAGGUUUUUUAAAGCAUUUUUUUUUGGAGGGGGUGUGAGGGUUUUACGUUUUUCUCUAAAGAAUUGAGGGUAUUAACUACCAACCAGUUCAUUUUUGAAUUUGAGCAUGUAUUAAGUAAUGAGACAGCUGUGUAAAUUUGGUUUGUGCCUUAAUUGAGUUAGUCAUUGAACUUCCAAAAUGUUGCUGCCUGAAGAGGAGUUUUAAUAAUGUUUUCUACGCUGACAAUAAUUUUCUUUUUAAACAAAAUAAACAUUUUAUAAACACCGAAAAACUCAAAAGCUAUUUUUCUUUAAACUCUGUGGGCAGCAGUGUCAAAGUUUGUGGGAAGAAUACAUCAUUUUUUCCUUAUUUGAAAGAGAAGACAGCCUGGAUUUCCAACAGUAAAGUGGUUUGCAACAGUUACCUGGCUCUUGGCCUCCAUCCAGCUGGAUCAAGUUGAUACCUGAAAAGAGAUCCUGACUCCUGUGGCCUUCGAAAGACCCAAGAAUGCCAGUCAAGAAGAGAGACACUGACCGAGCUUUAUCAUUACUGGAAGAAUACUGCAAAAAAUUAAGGAAACCAGAGGAGCAGCAGUUGAAGAAUGCUGUUAAGAAGGUGAUGGGAAUCUUUAAGAGCAGCUUAUUCCAGGCUUUGCUAGGUAUGUAUUAAAAACUAUUUAUCACGUUAAUAGAAUUGGACUUAAUAGUUCAAGUAAUGUAGUCAAAGAACCUGAUGUUAAACCAAAUUUAAAAUUGAAAUAAUGUUUUUUGAUAGUAAAAGAAAAGAUUUGAGUUUUUUUUUUAAAUUUUCUUAUUUAAGGUUAUCCUAAAAAAGAAUAGCUGUAAAUUAGAAAAAAAGUUUUUAAAAAAGUAAAUAUUGAAAGAAUGUUUUGGAUAGGAAGACACAUUUACACAGGAAAAAAAUUGGAGUAGUUUAUUGCCAAAAAUUGAGGACAAAUAUGCUAGAGAAGGAAGUUACCUUCUUCUGGAGAAGGGUUUGGGUAUCACAAAAAGUAAUGAGUCACAUUUUUAUCAGAAUCAGAGUUCUAGUUUUAGUUUCUUUUAAGACAAAAAAUGUUUUUUCAUCUUUUUUUGCUUCUCUUAAGAAAUUUCGUGAUUCUAAUGGCAAAGUUUAUUGAUGAAAAUCUCAAUGCUUUGUCAGUUUUUCAUGAAUCUAACUACAUAAUAUUUUACCUUAUGUUUAUUCUUGAAUUUAUUAAAGACUGUAAAGAAAGUCAGUGAUAUGGUCUCUUUGUAUAUGUCUUUAUACAUAGUUUUUGCAUUUAUGCAGAUAAUUUUUAAUCCUCUUUUUCAUAUUUUAAGAGUUAAACUAGCAAAAGAUAUAAACAAAUACCUUCCCUCAAGAAAAACAACCAAUUAACAAAAAAACCCCACCCUAUAGAUUUUACUGGACUUAAAUAGUACAUUUUAAAGAAAUAAUUGAUCCACCAGACAUUAUCAUUACUUUUUCAGAUCUGAUGGUUAUUGAUAUGAAAGCUAAAAAUGUGAAUAUAUGAGGACUAAUCUUGAAAAUAGCUGUUUUUACUAUAAUGUCUACACUUGUUGACAAAACUACAACUUUAUGGUCUGAAUAUUUUCAGUAAAAAUAGAAGUAAAAAGCCUUAUAGGAUUAUUUUGCCUGUGGAUUAAUUUCUUUAAAAUAUUUGUUUAUGGCUGAUAAGAAUUAAUGACACAAAUAGCUCUAAUCAUCUUAGCUGGUAUUAAAUAAAAACAACUCUAAAUGCAGUCUUAUAGAAUUUAAAUAAACCCUGUCAUUAGAGAAUAGUAUUUUAGAGAACAUUUUUAAGCAAUAAAUUUCUCAAUUAAAAAUUCAUAGUUUUAUCUAGUUAAUACAUGGUAGAGGCCAUUAACUGAAUGGCAGUGCCUCUAAAUAGACCUAUAUGAUGUACUUAGUUAAGACCAGCUAAGUCUUUUGAGAGUUUGAAUUUUUGAGAACUCGCUUUAGCAGGAAUAUUGUUGGAUGCUUUAGAUAAUUCUACUAUACCUUGGUAAUGUAACCAUUUGGUAAUGCAAUAUUGUUACCUGGGAAGUAAAAGGACACAUGAAUGACAAAGAGUUGCAUUUUGCCAUUGUUUUAAGUGAGUGCUAAAUAUCUUGGCAAAAAGCCUAUAGUAUAGUUUGAAUUUCACUAAUAAAAUGAGAAGCAGCGAUAAUCUGUAAAGAGCUGUUACGUAAGUAAUCCUGAUGCCCAGCUUUGAAUGAAUAGAUUUGCUUUGGCUGGUCUUUUAAGUCAUUUUAGGAUAAGCCAGAGCACAAAGAGGGGAGCAACACUGUACAACAAAACGUAAUUUUCUAUUGAAUUCUAUGUGGGUUGCUAAAUACUGACUACUAAUUUACUAUUACUGAGUGUUU